rnacentral:rRNA from 1 species
UACGUAGGGUGCAAGCGUUAUCCGGAAUUAUUGGGCGUAAAGAGCUCGUAGGCGGUUUGUCGCGUCUGCUGUGAAAACCCGAGGCUCAACCUCGGGCCUGCAGUGGGUACGGGCAGACUAGAGUGCGGUAGGGGAGAUUGGAAUUCCUGGUGUAGCGGUGGAAUGCGCAGAUAUCAGGAGGAACACCGAUGGCGAAGGCAGGUCUCUGGGCCACUACUGACGCUGAGAAGACGAAAGCAUGGGGAGCGAACAGG